GAUGCAGCCAUGCCGCGUGUGUGAAGAAGGACCUUCGGGUUGUAAAGCACUUUCAGUAGGGAGGAAGGUAGUGUAGUUAACACCUGCAUUAUUUGACGUUACCUACAGAAGAAGCACCGGCUAACUCCGUGCCAGCAGCCGCGGUAAUACGGAGGGUGCGAGCGUUAAUCGGAAUUACUGGGCGUAAAGCGCAUGCAGGCGGCCUGUUAAGUCAGAUGUGAAAGCCCGGGGCUUAACCUCGGAAUUGCAUUUGAAACUGGCAGGCUAGAGUCUUGUAGAGGGGGGUAGGAAUUUCAGGUGUAGCGGUGAAAUGCGUAGAGAUCUGAAGGAAUACCAGUGGCGAAGGCGGCCCCCUGGACAAAGACUGACGCUCAGAUGCGAAAGCGUGGGGAGCAAACAGGAUUAGAUACCCUGGUAG
rnacentral:rRNA from 1 species